rnacentral:lncRNA from 1 species
GAACGUGAUGCAGCAGGAGAACUUGGAGCUGAGAAACAAAUAUGAGGACCUCAACACGAAGUAUCUGGAGAUGGGGAAGAUCGUUGAUGGAUUUGAGAAGAUCGUGUAUAAAUCAAUGGAGGAGGCUGAGAAACAGAAGGAACUAGCUGAAGACAAAAUUCAAAAGAUUUUAAGAGAGAGAGACCAACUUACUGCGGAUCUGAACUCUAUGGAGAAGUCCUUCUCUGACCUCUUCAAGCGGUUUGAGAAGCAGAAGGAAGUGAUUGAAGGCUACCAGAAGGUGCGUUGUAUCCCCUUUCGGUCCUUGCUAUGUUAAUCCCUUUCUGGCUGAGCUGUGUUCCGUACAUCUGGGUUCUUAACUGUGCUGUUCCUUGGCACCAGGGACGUGAUAGCCUAUCUAUCAGCAGGACAAGCUGCACCACGAGACUCUGGUAGGAGAGCACGGCCGAUCUGUGAGAUGUGGUUUUAGAGGCUUUAGGAGCCUCAGCAGAAGAGACUGAGGGUUUCCCUGCUUAGUGCUACUAUGUCUGGCAUGCACAAGGCCCUUAGCUCACUCUCCAUUAACUUUUCAACCCUCCUGUCCUCCCAAAAGAAAAAAAGAGGGGAAAAAAAAACUUUGCAGUUAUAGAGUUCUGUGAACAGACACCAUGACCAAGGCAACUCUUACAAAGGAAAACAUUUAAUUGAGGCUGGGUUAUAGGUUCAGAGGUUCAGUCCAGGAUCAAGGCAGUGUCUAGGCAGUCAUGCUUCUGGAGGAGACAAGAGUUCUACAUCUUGAUUGGAAGGAAGCCAG